UACGUAGGGGGCAAGCGUUGUCCGGAAUUAUUGGGCGUAAAGAGCGUGUAGGCGGCCAGAUAAGUCCGCUGUGAAAUCUCGAGGCUCAACUUCGAGCUGUCGGUGGAAACUAUCUGGCUAGAGUCCGGAAGAGGAGAAUGGAAUUCCUGGUGUAGCGGUGAAAUGCGCAGAUAUCAGGAGGAACACCGGUGGCGAAGGCGGGUCUCUGGGUAGUAACUGACGCUGAGGAACGAAAGCGUGGGUAGCGAACAGG
rnacentral:rRNA from 1 species